rnacentral:RNase_P_RNA from 1 species
GCAGUUUAUUGUGCAAUCGCAUGGCGUAAGCCAUGAGGAAAGUCCGGGCAUCACAGAGCGGGGUAGCUGUUAACGGCAGCCGAAGGCGACUUUAGGGCAAGUGCAACAGAAACAAACUACUAUGCAAAUAGUACAGGUGGAAAGGUGAGGUAAAAGCUCACCGGAAUAACGGAGACGUUAUUGCUGUGUAAACCCUAUCCGAUGCAACGCUGGAACGUUUGGGGAAAUAUACGUCUGCUCGGCGUACCCUUAGUGAAGGCGGCUUGAACAAAGCGGCGACGCUUUGUCUUAGACAGAUGAUUGUGCGCGACAGAACCCGGCUUACAGAUAAACUGCCGCC